rnacentral:rRNA from 1 species
CGCAAGCCUGACGGAGCAACGCCGCGUGCGGGAGGACGGCCUGUGGGUUGUAAACCGCUUUUCUCAGGGAAGAAGGUCUGACGGUACCUGAGGAAUCAGCAUCGGCUAACUCCGUGCCAGCAGCCGCGGUAAUACGGAGGAUGCAAGCGUUAUCCGGAAUUAUUGGGCGUAAAGCGUCCGCAGGCGGUGUGUCAAGUCUGCCGUUAAAGGCCGGGGCUCAACUCCGGUUGGGCGGUGGAAACUGACAGACUAGGGUGCGGUAGGGGUAGAGGGAAUUCCCAGUGUAGCGGUGAAAUGCGUAGAUAUUGGGAAGAACACCAGUGGCGAAGGCGCUCUACUGGGCCGCAACUGACGCUGAGGGACGAAAGCUAGGGGAGCG